AGGUAAUUUUGUAUGUGGCCAAAAUAACUCAAAAUACAGUGACUGAGCUCCUUUAAUCUCUUGUUAUCAAUAGCGCUGUCAGGCUGUGUGGCCGAUCCAAUGGUUGGAGGCUGUAACAUGACACAUUUCAUAUCAGGCGGACAGAAAUGCCAGAGGAAGAUGAUGGCCGAUCUCAAACACAAACCCAACACUAACUGCAGUAUUGAAUACCAGCAUCAAACUUCAUGCUUAACCGAGCAUUUGACAUCUUGCUUGACUGGUCUCCUGUCUGGCUUUGUCCCUGCUGUCAGGUCGUUAAUAGAGAUGUUAUUUUACCACUGUGGUGAUCUCAAGGUGGACCCCUCUGUGAUAAACCAGUUCUUGCUCAACACGAUUCAAUGUAAGGGAGAAGUUUUUACAAAAACUGUGGGAUGCUGGAAUGAUUUUCGCCUCCGAUUCGACCAGGACAAGACAGAUCCUCUACUUUGCAGGGACUAUGCUGUUGCAAAGGAAUGCGUGACAGAGGAGGCCAAAACUGGUUGUGCAAUAGGACAGUACAUCAACAGGGAUUUGUUUAACCCCUUCUGUACCUACAAUACAGAUCCACCGCUGAACAGCUCGAAACCGACUGUUUUGAUUGGGCGUUGCAGCACUCAAACCUUUGCUUCAUCAGCAUAUAAAUGUCAACGGGAAAUGAUAACAACGUUAGCAGAGAAAAACAGUGAAACCUGCCGGUAAUUUUAAUAUUAAGUUUAUUGGAUCCGAACUUUACUUUCAGCAAUUGUACUCUGAGAUCAUUUUGCAGCCUUCGAAGGCAAGCGGCUUUGAGACAAUAUGUUACCUGUCAAAUCUAGCAUCUAACAAGUAACGUAUUACCCCUUGUCUGCAUUAGGCAAAUUAUGCGUGCUGAUAUUUGAACUUGGACAAUAUAUAGAAUUCAAUAAUCCCACUCACAUUUAUUUUUGGAAGAUAACGGUGCUUAUCAGGUGAUUAUACUUAUUUCUGAUUACUUUUAUAAUCUCUUUAUAAUCCAGACAGAAGUAUAGUAAACUGGAAUUUUGCUUGUCAUCAACCAUGGAGACCUGUCUUACGGGUACAUCACUUUCUCCAUUUAAAGAUGAAGUCCGUCGAUUGGUGCAAACAGUGUUGUAUCACUGCGGAACUCUUACCGCUGAUGGAAUCUCUGUAAACUCACUCCUAGUUGGCGCCCUCAAUUGUAACGAAACUAUGUUUCAAACCGCUGUCCGGUGCUGGGACGACUUUCGACUCCGACUGAUCCUUAAUAGGCUCGACAAGCAACUUUGCGUAGAUUAUGCUCGAUCCAAACUGUGUGUCUCAAUGGCAGUCCACAGUGGCUGUGCCAUAGGAGAUCUCAUGGAGGAUGACCUUUAUAACCCAUUUUGUACAGAUGGUAUAGAUCCGCUCAGCCUACCAUUUACCCCAGGUGAGUUCUUUUGUAUUCACAAAAAGUUGCGGUUGUUAACCAUCAAGGGAGUAACUUCCACGAACGUUAAUUUCGUGAACUUCUGAAGACUGAGAUGUUUCCGUUACGUUUACCACUUUGUAGUUGCACCAAACACAAGAGGUACUUUUCGAGUUCUUUUGUUUUUCACCUGAUCUUUCUUGUGACUUUUUUGUACCUCUACACAUUUCGCGCUCGAUGGGCUUUUGUGGGUCUUUCGAGUAUGUUUUUAAGGGAAUUUUAUCCUACGGGUUUGUUAUAUGUGUAUACUGAAACAAUUAUUCCCCUUAGUGUCGAUGGCUACCAUAUCACAUCUUGAUCUUCGCUGGCAAGAUGUUGAUGCCUAACGCUUUUCUUCCAAUAACACCGUCCCACUCCUGUGGAAUUAAUCAGUCUUCUUUUUAAGGUUACAGUAGCUCUCAGAGCCGCGAAGAUAAUUAAGUUUGGUAUUGGGUUGCAACCAGUUCUUAUUUCUAGAUUCCAUUUCAGACAGUAAAUGCAUUUCCAAAUUGUUUAUUGUACUACGUAAUACUAUAAAGUGGAAAAAAAAAUCCCUUGAUGGUGACCCGAUUUUUGCUUUCGUCCCAGUUAUAGUCCCUAGCUUAAUUAUAAUAAUUAUCAGACGUUCUUAUCUAUUUUCCUUCUAAGCGAGAACAAUUUUAAAAUUUACAUGCAACUGGCAACAGGUAUUUUAUCAGCUUAACAGUAACAAUGGCAUAGCCAGGACGAAAACUCAAUUUCUGGUUCCUUAUCUCCCCAUUUUCCGACAGAAGGAAGACUUACAUGUACCAAGUUUCCUUCAUUGUUGUUCACUUACAGCUCUCACCUCGAGACGGUUUACGUUUGUGUGCGAUAAUGAUUUAUUUUACAAGAGGGCGAUCGUCUGCGAAAAUAUUUUCCUUGAAGCCAUUUAUUCAACUCAAGUGGCAACUAGUUGUAGAGACCAAUCUCAGACAUUCCUAAGCUGUUUGAAGACACAGUUUGCAUCCUGCAUAGGACCAUCUUCCAAUCCCAUACUGUUGGAGGCACUGGUUCUCGUGGUUCUGCAAAGUGUACAAGGAACACAACUUCUUUGCGAGUCUCCUAUUAAGCAAAUCAUUUGGGAUGAUCUUCCUCCUCUGCUACAAACAGUUGCAUCUUGUAAUAAUAACUACGCGGUUGAAACCGCUGAAUGCGGGAGAACUUUUCGUUCCAAAUUUAUUUCAGUUCCUUCACCACUGUGUGAAGAUUUCGAAAACGCCAAAACAUGCGUGGAUGAGGCGAGGCAAAAGUUCUGUUCGUUCAACAAUGACUCUCGCAAAACUCUCAUGGGAAAUUUCAAUCCAUUUUGUGACAACAGAACGAGGCCCCUGUUUACAGACGUUGGAAGUUGUCUCAGAACUAAGUACCAGAUAACCUUUCUCAUGUUUUUUGUCCUUUUGUUAGGAUUUUUAACGUAAAAGAUUGCUUGCGAUAAUGGCGAACUUGGGAAAGGUCCCCGGUCACAUUGUAAGGCACAGAUGUAAGGCUGGGAGGGCCGAGGUUUUCAGAAAGAAAAGCUUCUUUCCAACCUUUCUGGCCCUUUCUUAAGUACAAAAUUAGGAUCCAUGGUCUCUUCUCCCAUCACCCAUCACCCACUUACAGCAUCUGGAUCAGAUUACAUCUGGAUCAGUCAUCUCAAGUAUCAUUGGUUUAUCCGUGCAUUGAUAAACGUGAACUUGCGUGCAAGAGUGUUCUGCAUUGUAAAUAAGUAUUUUACUUAUGUAUUGUAAAGCGAUAUUGUAAAUGAUUAAACAAAAGCACUCAAGUGAACGAGAAAAAAAAAGAGUAUUAAUAAUAAUCAGCUAGUAUAAAUCUACUAGCGUUC